UUCCCUACGGGGGGCAGCAGUGGGGAAUAUUGCACAAUGGGGGAAACCCUGAUGCAGCGACGCCGCGUGGGCGACGAAGCGCUCCGGCGCGUAAAGCCCUGUCAGCAGGGAAGAACAAAGACAGUACCUGACCAAGAAGCCCCGGCUAACUACGUGCCAGCAGCCGCGGUAAUACGUAGGGGGCAAGCGUUAUCCGGAUUUACUGGGUGUAAAGGGAGCGUAGACGGAGGAGCAAGUCUGAUGUGAAAAUCCGGGGCCCAACCCCGGAACUGCAUUGGAAACUGUUUAUCUAGAGUGUCGGAGAG
rnacentral:rRNA from 1 species